GAGGAAUAUUGGUCAAUGGGCGAGAGCCUGAACCAGCCAAGUAGCGUGCAGGAAGACGGCCCUAUGGGUUGUAAACUGCUUUUGUAUGGGGAUAAAGUCAGUCACGUGUGAUUGUUUGCAGGUACCAUACGAAUAAGGACCGGCUAAUUCCGUGCCAGCAGCCGCGGUAAUACGGAAGGUCCGGGCGUUAUCCGGAUUUAUUGGGUUUAAAGGGAGCGUAGGCUGGAGAUUAAGUGUGUUGUGAAAUGUAGACGCUCAACGUCUGACUUGCAGCGCAUACUGGUUUCCUUGAGUACGCACAACGUUGGCGGAAUUCGUCGUGUAGCGGUGAAAUGCUUAGAUAUGACGAAGAACUCCGAUUGCGAAGGCAGCUGACGGGAGCGCAACUGACGCUGAAGCUCGAAGGUGCGGGUAUCGAACAGGAUUAGAUACCCUGGUAGUCCGCACAGUAAACGAUGGAUGCCCGCUGUUGGUACCUGGUAUCAGCGGCUAAGCGAAAGCAUUAAGCAUCCCACCUGGGGAGUACGCCGGCAACGGUG
rnacentral:rRNA from 1 species